rnacentral:rRNA from 1 species
UACGAAGGGGGCUAGCGUUGUCCGGAUUUAUUGGGUUUAAAGGGUGCGUAGGUGGCCUUAUAAGUCAGCGGUGAAAGUCUGCAGCUUAACUGUAGAACUGCCAUUGAUACUGUAAGGCUUGAGUACUGAUGAGGUAGGCGGAAUUGAUAGUGUAGCGGUGAAAUGCAUAGAUAUUAUCAAGAACACCGAUUGCGAAGGCAGCUUACUAAGGAGUUACUGACACUGAGGCACGAAAGCGUGGGGAUCAAACAGG